rnacentral:lncRNA from 1 species
CCAAAAUCUAUUCCCAGUAAUGAAUUGGAAACAACCUACCUGUUCACCCAUAGAGGGCUGGGAAAUAAAGUGUGGUGUUCUUCUCAGAGCACGAUAUGGCUGGUAAGAUAAAUGAUCCAACAAACAGGACACACACAUUCCUAAGGCAAGUGGAAUGCCUAAGGCAAGUGUCUCUCACCCAACAUGAUCUUCUUCCUUGCCUUUUCCUUCUCGCACAGGUCACAUGGCAUCAUUGAAGUGUAUGUGUGUUUGUGUGUGUGCGUGCAUGUGUAUGCACUAUUUGUCUACACAUCCAAGAACUGAACAGGCUACCACUUUUAACUUUUAUUUCCAUGUUUUGUAGCUACCACAAAUAGAAACAGUGAUUCAUUCACUUUCUCCUUGAAAUUUCACUCAACUGGAAGAUUGUCUCCAUUUAGGAAUCCAGUUCACAGGUGUGGGUUGAGGUCAGCAUUGAUGCUCACUCGCUGAUAGCUCAAGGGUCUAAAAACUCGUCUCCUACUCAUACUUGAAGGCUAAGAAAAGCAGGAAAGGUCUUCAUGAACAGGCCCAUAAAAGGCAAAGUGGCACUUGAAUCAAAGUGUGGAAUAUGAUAUGUCAAGAAAUUUGUAAUGUUUUGAACAACCCACAAUAAAAAAUUUAAAAAAAAAGGC